GUCGUCACCCUGGCAGAACACUUUCAUGCAGACAAGCGUGGCCUGGAACCACACCCCACACCCCAGGGCAUGGGAUCUGGCUUCUAGAGCAGCUCUCUAUGAAGGGGCCAAUGGAAAGCAGGAGGUAGGAGAAAGUCAGACAGCCAGCUUUCUCUAUCGCCUCUUCCCUUCAAAGGACAGAUUUCCCGUACAACCUGUCCAGAGAAGUUUUGCCUGGCUGAGCAGGUUUAUCUGACGCCUCCUUGUGGGCUGUUGUGCGGCCAUGGCCAUCGCAAUGAUAGUGGCCCAUCACCAUGCGUGCUCCCAUCCUUCCCUGCCUGUCUCCCCUUUGCCCUCACUCUCAUUGCCCUGGGACUGUGCCUCCUAAAUAAGCUUCAGCACUUCAUCCCUGCCCCAGGCUCUCAUUUCUAGGAACCUCGGGCAAAGAUAACCACUCCAACAAUUACUUGUUUCUAGGCCUCUUUGCAUCUUUCAUAUUUAGGGUACCAGAGAAGACCCAAUCUUUGUUGAAUCGAGUUCAGCUUGAACUGAAACCUCUUGGAUACUGUGGUAGGAAGAAUGCUCAGAUGGCCUCCAGGAGGCCCAGCUCUUGAACAAUUCCCUCCCCCCUCAGGAUGAGGAAGUGGAAUAUGGGGACUUGUGAAUAUGCUGGCAUAUUACUCCCAUGAUUAUGUUACAUUAUAUGACAGAAGAGUUUUGUGGAUGUUACUGAAGAAGGUCCCUAAUCAACUGACUUUGAGUUAAUCAAAAGGGAGAUUAUACUGCAUGGGCCUGAUUUAAUCAGGUGAGCCCUUAAAAGGGACUCAGCUCUUUCUAAGAUCAGAGAGAUUUCUCCUGCUGGCCUUGAAGGUGCACACUGCCAUGCUGUGGAAGGGCCACGUGGCCGGGCACAGCAGGCAGGCUCUAGGAGCUACGGGAUUCAGCCAACAAAAGAGUAGGGGCCUCAGUCCUACAGCCACAGGUAGCAGAAUUCUGCCAACAAUCUGAGAGAGCUUGGGAGUGGAUAUCUCCCUAGCUGAGCUUCUGGAUGAUGAAUGUACAAGAAGAUGGAGCCAUCAUCAUUCUGGAUCUUUGAGGACCACAUGGAAGACAGUUGCCCUGAAGAGUCUCUCAGGCCCCUUUUACUUUGUGUGGGAAACUGUAUCUCCAGCUUGGCUGCCACAUUCUCAACAAAGUGGACAGAGUCUAUGAUGGGACUGUCAAAGGAGUAAAGUCUUAGAUCAGAGGAGCUGCCAUGGAAAAGGCCCAGCUGACACAGGCUGACACAGGCCCCCUGGUAUCCCUGCCCAGGGGUGAUAGAUGGGAUCGGGUAAGAGACUUGGGGAGGAUGUGAGUAAUGUAUAACUUGUUUGUAAAUUUCAGUGAAAUUGAAAACAUUUUUCAUGUAAAUAGAGAUAUUUUAGGUACAGAUACAAACAUAUGCCCUUUGUCUUGAUGCACAGCCCACCAUUUCUUGCUUCCUAAUGGCCUCCAUCUCCUCUCUGUCAGUCUUAUCUAUCAGUCUUGUCAGGCCCAGAACAAAUGCUACCUC
ensembl:lncRNA